GAUGAACGCCAGCGAUAGGCUUAACACAUGCAAGUCGAGGGGCAGCAUGGUCUUAGCUUGCUAAGACUGAUGGCGACCGGCGCACGGGUGCGUAACGCGUAUGCAACUUGCCUCACAGAGGGGGAUAACCCGUCGAAAGACGGACUAAUACCGCGUACACUCCAUCUUGGGCAUCCAAGGUAGAGGAAAUGAAAUUCGCUGUGAGAUAGGCAUGCGUCCCAUUAGCUAGUUGGUGAGGUAACGGCUCACCAAGGCGACGAUGGGUAGGGGAACUGAGAGGUUGAACCCCCACACUGGUACUGAGACACGGACCAGACUCCUACGGGAGGCAGCAGUGAGGAAUAUUGGUCAAUGGGCGAGAGCCUGAACCAGCCAAGUCGCGUGAAGGAUGACUGUCUUAUGGAUUGUAAACUUCUUUUAUACGGGAAUAACAAGAGUCACGUGUGACUCCCUGCAUGUACCGUAUGAAUAAGCAUCGGCUAACUCCGUG
rnacentral:rRNA from 1 species